AAUUCAGCUUUACUAAAUGGUUGUCUGGAAAUUUGGAGUUGUAAUUUAGUGUCGUCCUUUAUAGAAGAGGAAGUGAGUAGACAUUUAGCAAUUGUUAGCUUUUUUCCAUCAAAAACUGAAUUACAAAGGCUUACAACAGAAGAUCGUUUAAUCUGUCUGCAACUUGUAGUCAAUGUUAGACACCUUAAGAGCAAUUCUUCCU